GGAUCAGCACGCCGCGGUGAAUACGUUCCCGGGCCUUGUACACACCGCCCGUCACACCACGAGAGUUUGUAACACCCGAAGUCGGUGAGGUAACCUUUUGGAACCAGCCGCCUAAGGUGGGAUAGAUGAUUGGGGUGAAGUCGUAACAAGGUAGCCGUAUCGGAAGGUGCGGCUGGAUCACCUCCUUU
rnacentral:rRNA from 1 species